rnacentral:lncRNA from 1 species
AAUUCGCACCGUUGCAGCCAUUUUAAUCUAGACUUCAGUUGCUACUGGACCGGAUGAUCCUUGCUUAAAACCGUUGAAAGCAAGGUGUUGUACUGACUCUUCGGUUGCCUAGGCAAAGCUCCCCCCUCCUCCUCUUCCUCCCUGCAUCACAUGCAAUCAGGAGCGGAGAUCUUCUCAUUAAGGUUUCGAGGCUGAAGUUUGGCAACUCGAACCUUCAGCUCCCUCCACAGAUUUUCUAUGGGAUUAAGGUCUGGAGACUGGCUAGGCCACUCCAGGACCUUAAUGUGCUUCUUCUUGAGCCACUCCUUUGUUGCCUUGGCCGUGUGUUUUGGGUCAUUGUCAUGCUGGAAUACCCAUCCACGACCCAUUUUCAAUGCCCUGGCUGAGGGAAGGAGGUUCUCACCCAAGAUUUGACAGUACAUGGCACCGUCAUCAUCCCUUUGAUGCGGUGAAGUUGUCCUGUCCCCUUAGCAGAAAAACACCCCCAAAGCAUAAUGUUUCCACCUCCAUGUUUGACUGUGGGGAUGGUGUUCUUGGGGUCAUAGGCAGCAUUUGUAUAUACAUUUGUAUAUGCCCUCCUCCAAACAUGGCGAGUUGAGUUGAUGUCAAAGAGCUCCAUUUUGGUCUCAUCUGACCACAACACUUUCACCAGUUGUCCUCUGAAUCAUUCAGAUGUUCAUUGGCAAACUUCAGACGGGCAUGUAUAUGUAUUCU